CAAGACGUAGGUUAAUCUUAAAACCAUUACCGUUCAAAGGUAAAAUUACUUAAUAGUUAGGUUGUCUUGA
rnacentral:tRNA from 1 species